rnacentral:rRNA from 1 species
UACAGAGGGGGCAAGCGUUGUUCGGAAUUACUGGGCGUAAAGGGCGCGUAGGCGGCCUGUUAAGUCGAACGUGAAAUCCCCGGGCUCAACCCGGGAACUGCGUCCGAUACUGGCAGGCUUGAAUCCGGGAGAGGGAUGUGGAAUUCCAGGUGUAGCGGUGAAAUGCGUAGAUAUCUGGAGGAACACCGGUGGCGAAGGCGGCAUCCUGGACCGGUAUUGACGCUGAGGCGCGAAAGCUAGGGUAGCGAACGGG